GAAGAGGGUGGAGGUGAAGGUGGUGGUGGCGGUGGUGGUGGUGGAGGAGAAGGAGGAGGAGGAGGUGAGGAGCUUUGAUGGCAGUAGUUGGGCCCAGCCGGCACUCGCGGGUGUCCAUGAGCGUGUCUAUGUCGCUGAUGCAGGGGGGCGGGGCGGGGACGACAGGUGGAGGCGGGACGACGGGGCCCGGGGCCCACCCGGGCCAGGCGGUACUCGCGGCCGCCGCCGCUGCCGCCGCCGCCGCGGCGACUCAGCCGACCCCCACCUAUUAUCAUCCCGCCGCACCCGCGCCACCCCCACCACCACCGCCCGCGCAGGAUCCCGUCCAACCCGACAGACCCAUCGGCUACGGCGCCUUCGGUGUUGUCUGGGCUGUCACGGAUCCGAGGGAUGGUAGGAGAGUGGCCUUAAAGAAACUGCCGAAUGUCUUUCAAAGUCUCGUCAGCAGCAAACGCGUUUUCAGAGAACUGAAGAUGCUUUGUUUCUUCAAACACGAAAACGUUCUCUCGGCCCUGGAUAUCUUACAACCGCCGCAUCUCGACUUCUUCCAAGAAAUAUAUGUGAUCACGGAGCUACUCCAAAGCGAUCUUCACAAGAUCAUCGUCAGCCCGCAGCACCUAAGCCCCGAUCACAUCAAGGUCUUCCUUUAUCAAAUUCUUCGAGGUCUGAAGUAUCUUCACUCAGCCAGAAUUCUCCAUAGAGAUAUCAAGCCAGGGAAUCUUUUAGUGAACAGCAAUUGCGUCUUAAAAAUCUGUGAUUUUGGAUUGGCACGCGUGGAAGAGCCCGACCAGAACAAGCACAUGACUCAGGAAGUGGUAACGCAGUAUUAUCGUGCCCCGGAAAUUCUAAUGGGUGCACGACAUUAUACCGCAGCCGUCGAUGUAUGGAGUGUCGGUUGCAUUUUCGGCGAGCUUCUUCGACGACGAAUUCUCUUUCAAGCUCAGAGUCCUGUGCAACAGUUGGAAUUGAUCACGGAACUGCUAGGCACCCCAACCCUCGAGGACAUGAGGUACGCUUGCGAGGGUGCAAGGACUCACAUGCUGAGGCGUGCACCGAAACCACCCUCGUUGACGGCUCUCUAUACCCUCAGCAGCCAGGCGACGCACGAGGCCGUCCAUUUGCUCUGCCAGAUGCUAGUCUUCGAUCCUGACAAGAGGAUCACCGUGGUGGAUGCCCUGGCGCAUCCUUAUCUGGACGAGGGAAGACUCAGAUAUCACUCGUGCAUGUGCACGUGUUGCUACACAACGAGUGCUGGGAUGAGACAGUACACUGGGGAUUUCGAGCCAGCGACUACUCAUCCCUUCGACGAUCUCUGGGAGCGAAAACUGACGAGCGUGCAGCAGGUGAAAGAGGAAAUGCACAAAUUUAUAGCGGAGCAGCUGAAUACGUCGCGCGUGCCGCUCUGCAUAAAUCCGCAGUCCGCGGCAUUCAAGAGCUUCGCAAGUUAGAGCAAGCUGAUCGCCGAUCCAGCAUCCUGCGCCGCGUAUACGUACACAUAACUACUACUACUACUACUGCUACUGCUACUGCUACUACUACUACUACUGCUACUACUACUCUACUACUACUACUACUACUACUACUACUACUACUACUACUACUACCACUACCACUACUAUCGAAUCAUCUACCAUGAACCACAACUACUAUUGUCUACUACCACUAUCGUCUAGUACUACUACUACUACUACCACCACCACCACCACUACCACCACAACCACCACCAUUACUACUACUAUAACUGCUACUGCUACUUUACUACUACUGCUAUUACUACUGCUCUACCAUACUGCUACUUCUACUACUACCACUACUACUACUACUACUACUACUACUACAACUACAACUACUACUACUACUACCACCAAUCGUGUUACGUCUCCUCCUGAACGAACCGAAAGAACAGAGAGUCAGCAAUAAGUCGUCUCGACCUCGCUCGCAGAGCUCGACGGUGGCCCACCCUUCGGAACUGCCACCCUCUCCUCACCAAUGGGAAUAAAUCUUCUCCGUGGAAUAAGAAAGAGAGACACACAAAAAAAAACACAGACAAAGAAUGAAUGAACGAAAGAAAGAAAGAUAGAAAGAAAGAGUGUAUGCGUGUGUAUGUAUGUGUGUGUGUGUGUGAGAGAGAGAGAGAGAGAGAGAGAGAAAAUAAGUAAGAAAUAGAGAGGACACGUAACUCACAAGAAUGGACCGUGUUUCCCGGUAUUCCUUAGACGUAUUCUCGUUUUUACGUCGUCAUUUGGACGAUCUUUUCGAAAGAAAAAGAGAAGCGAGUUUAUACUUAUCCGGGAAGACAAAACAAGAAGGAAGAA